rnacentral:rRNA from 1 species
UACGAAGGGGGCUAGCGUUGCUCGCAAUCACUGGGCGUAAAGGGUGCGUAGGCGGGUUUUUAAGUCAGGGGUGAAAUCCUGGAGCUCAACUCCAGAACUGCCUUUGAUACUGAAGAUCUUGAGUCCGGGAGAGGUGAGUGGAACUGCGAGUGUAGAGGUGAAAUUCGUAGAUAUUCGCAAGAACACCAGUGGCGAAGGCGGCUCACUGGUCCGGUACUGACGCUGAGGUGCGAAAGCGUGGGGAGCAAACAGG